AUACGGAGGGUGCGAGCGUUACUCGGAGUCACUGGGCGUAAAGCGUCCGUAGGCGGUCGGGUAAGUCGGGUGUGAAGGCCCCGGGCUCAACCUGGGAAGUGCACCCGAUACUGCUCGACUCGAGUGCGGGAGAGGAUGGCGGAAUUCCCGGUGUAGCGGUGAAAUGCGUAGAGAUCGGGAGGAACACCAGUGGCGAAGGCGGCCAUCUGGCCCGCAACUGACGCUGAGGGACGAAAGCGUGGGGAGCAAACAGGAUUAGAAACCCUUGUAGUCC
rnacentral:rRNA from 1 species